GACUACCUGAGAUGGCCGAGCGGUCCAAGGCAAAACCCUUAAAUCCAAACUCCACUCCAACAGUUCCGUGGUCUCGAAAGGGGCGUGAGUUCAAAUCUCACUUUCGUCA